rnacentral:misc_RNA from 1 species
AAAGUCGUAACAAGGUUUCCGUAGGUGAACCUGCGGAAGGAUCAUCAUUGAAUCCAAUACACUACACCCUUGUGAACUUGGUAACGCGCUUCCUAUACAGGUUGCCGUUGCCGCCACUUACCACUGGUGUUGGCGGGAUCAGUGUACGCGGAGCUUUUUAAAAGCAAUGCUACUGCCCGCCGCCCAGUCCAUUGUUAACAAAAACACUAUUACAUAACGAAAAGCUAAUACAAUUAUAUUUUUAAUUAAAACAACUUUCAACAAUGGAUCUCUUGGCUCUC